UUGUUGGUAAGGUAAAAGCUUACCAAGGCUUCGAUCAGUAGCUGGUCUGAGAGGACGACCAGCCACACUGGGACUGAGACACGGCCCAGACUCCUACGGGAGGCAGCAGUGGGGAAUUUUGGACAAUGGGGGCAACCCUGAUCCAGCCAUGCCGCGUGAGUGAAGAAGGCCUUCGGGUUGUAAAGCUCUUUCAGCCGGAACGAAACGGUUACGGAUAACACCCGUGACUACUGACGGUGCCGGAAGAAGAAGCACCGGCUAACUACGUGCCAGCAGCCGCGGUAAUACGUAGGGUGCGAGCGUUAAUCGGAAUUACUGGGCGUAAAGCGUGCGCAGGUGGUUUUGUAAGUCAGAUGUGAAAGCCCCGGGCUCAACCUGGGAACUGCGUUUGAAACUACAAGACUAGAGUGUGGCAGAGGGGGGUGGAAUUCCGCGUGUAGCAGUGAAAUGCGUAGAGAUGUGGAGGAACACCGAUGGCGAAGGCAGCCCCCUGGGUCAACACUGACGCUCAGGCACGAAAGCAUGGGGAGCAAACAGGAUUAGAUACCCUGGUAGUCCAUGCCCUAAACGAUGUCAACUAGUUGUCGGGCCUUUACGGGCUUGGUAACGUAGCUAACGCGUGAAGUUGACCGCCUGGGGAGUACGAUCGCAAGAUUAAAACUCAAAUGAAUUGACGGGGACCCGCACAAGCGGUGGAUUAUGUGGAUUAAUUCGAUGCAACGCGAAAAACCUUACCUACCCUUGACAUGUAUCGAAGCCCGCAGAAAAGCGGGGGUGCCCGAAAGGGAACGAUAACACAGGUGCUGCAUGGCUGUCGUCAGCUCGUGUCGUGAGAUGUUGGGUUAAGUCCCGCAACGAGCGCAACCCUUGUCAUUAAUUGCCAUCAUUUAGUUGGGCACUUUAAUGAGACUGCCGG
rnacentral:rRNA from 1 species